UAUGUGGAGCUCCUAUUGGUCGAUGGGUUGACAGUAACUCAAGACUCAGAACGGCCCAAAUAAGUCUAAGUGUCCAGAAUCUUAUGGUUUGCGUCUGUGCAGCUCUCCUAGUAGUUAUUACAACGCAGCGGCAGUAUUUCACUGCUUGGGAUGGAUGGUCUCUGAUCCUAGCAGAGCAUGUCUAGCACAGAUUGGAACUUUAGGAUGUAAACUAGCCAUAGAGAAGGACUGGAUCAUAGUGAUAU